rnacentral:rRNA from 1 species
AUUGAACGCUGGCGGCAGGCCUAACACAUGCAAGUCGAACGAGUGGCGGACGGGUGAGUAAGGUAUGGGAAACUGCCCGAGGGAGGGGGAUAACUACUGGAAACGGUAGCUGAUACCGCCUACCAUCGGAUGUGCCCGGAUGGGAUUAGCGAGUAGGUGGGGUAAAGGCUCACCUGGGCGACGAUCCCUAGCUGGUCUGAGAGGAUGACCAGCCACACGGGAACUGAGACACGGUCCAGACUCCUACGGGAGGAAGCAGUGGGGAAUAUUGGACAAUGGGCGCAAGCCUGAUGCAGCCAUGCCGCGUGUAUGAAGAAGGCCUUCGGGUUGUAAAGUACUUUAAGCGAGGAGGCGUUACUCGCAGAAGAAGCACAGGCUAACGCCGUGCCAGCCGCCGCGGUAAUAC